rnacentral:misc_RNA from 1 species
UCCCUGUUACCAGGGCAGUCUGAUUAGAAAAAUUCAACUAAUCACAAGGGUUGCGCUCGUUGAUGGACUUAACCAAACAUCUCACGACACGAGCUGACGACGGCCAUGCAACACCUGUCACUUGGCUCAAUAAAGCACUCUCUGCUUUCGCAGAAAUUCCAAGGAUGUCAAACCUGGGUAAGGUUCUUCGCUUACCAUCGAAUUAAAGAACACACUCCACCGCUUGUGCGGGUCCCCGUCAAUUCCUUUAUGUUUUAAGCUUGCGCUCGUACUCCACAGGCGGGAUGCUUAACGCGUUAGCUUCGCUACUUCCCGGGUCGAUACGGAAAACAGCUAGCAUCCAUCGUUUACGGCGUGGACUAA